UUAAAUUGAAGAGUUUGAUCAUGGCUCAGAUUGAACGCUGGCGGCAGGCCUAACACAUGCAAGUCGAACGGUAACAGGAAGAAGCUUGCUUCUUUGCUGACGAGUGGCGGACGGGUGAGUAAUGUCUGGGAAACUGCCUGAUGGAGGGGGAUAACUACUGGAAACGGUAGCUAAUACCGCAUAACGUCGCAAGACCAAAGAGGGGGACCUUCGGGCCUCUUGCCAUCGGAUGUGCCCAGAUGGGAUUAGCUAGUAGGUGGGGUAACGGCUCACCUAGGCGACGAUCCCUAGCUGGUCU
rnacentral:rRNA from 1 species